UUCGGAAGGGAUGUGUUUAUUAGAUAAAAAACCAAUGCCCUUCGGGGCUUUUUGGUGAUUCAUGAUAACUUUACGGAUCGCAUAGCCUUGCGCUGGCGACGGUUCAUUCAAAUUUCUGCCCUAUCAACUUUCGAUGGUAAGGUAUUGGCUUACCAUGGUUUCAACGGGUAACGGGGAAUUAGGGUUCGAUUCCGGAGAGGGAGCCUGAGAAACGGCUACCACAUCCAAGGAAGGCAGCAGGCGCGCAAAUUACCCAAUCCCGACACGGGGAGGUAGUGACAAUAAAUACUGAUACAGGGCUCUUUUGGGUCUUGUAAUUGGAAUGAGUACAAUUUAAACCUCUUAACGAGGAACAAUUGGAGGGCAAGUCUGGUGCCAGCAGCCGCGGUAAUUCCAGCUCCAAUAGCGUAUAUUAAAGUUGUUGCAGUUAAAAAGCUCGUAGUUGAAACUUGGGUCUGGCUGGCGGGUCCGCCUCACCGCGUGCACUCGUCCGGCCGGGCCUUCCUUCUGAAGAACCUCAUGCCCUUUACUGGGCGUGUUGGGGAAUCAGGACUUUUACUUUGAAAAAAUUAGAGUGUUCAAAGCAGGCCUUUGCUCGAAUACGUUAGCAUGGAAUAAUAAAAUAGGGCGUGCGUUUCUAUUUUGUUGGUUUCUAGAGACGCCGCAAUGAUUAACAGGAACAGUCGGGGGCAUCAGUAUUCAGUUGUCAGAGGUGAAAUUCUUGGAUUUACUGAAGACUAACUACUGCGAAAGCAUUUGCCAAGGAUGUUUUCAUUAAUCAGUGAACGAAAGUUAGGGGAUCGAAGACGAUCAGAUACCGUCGUAGUCUUAACCGUAAACUAUGCCGACUAGGGAUCGGGCGAUGUUCUUUUUCUGACUCGCUCGGCACCUUACGAGAAAUCAAAGUUU
rnacentral:rRNA from 1 species